rnacentral:rRNA from 1 species
CGAGUGGCGGACGGGUGAGUAAUGUCUGGGAAACUGCCUGAUGGAGGGGGAUAACUACUGGAAACGGUAGCUAAUACCGCAUAACGUCGCAAGACCAAAGAGGGGGACCUUCGGGCCUCUUGCCAUCGGAUGUGCCCAGAUGGGAUUAGCUUGUUGGUGGGGUAACGGCUCACCAAGGCGACGAUCCCUAGCUGGUCUGAGAGGAUGACCAGCCACACUGGAACUGAGACACGGUCC